UUCGGAAGGGUGAAAAUGGGAAUCAGGUGAAAGACCUGAACUGUGCCCGCAGCGGUGAGUCCACUCGCCUUGCUAUGCCGAGAAGACAAGUGAGGUGUUUAAUCAGUUUGAUGUGACCGGAUAUUCUUUGCCACUGUUCUUCGGAAUGGGAAGGCUUCCGGUCGGGACGAGUCCGAAGACCUGCCUUCAGCAUUG
rnacentral:ncRNA from 1 species